AGCGAACGCUGGCGGCAGGCUUAACACAUGCAAGUCGAACGCCCCGCAAGGGGAGUGGCAGACGGGUGAGUAACACGUGGGAACGUACCCUUUAGUUCGGAAUAACUUGGGGAAACUCAAGCUAAUACCGGAUAAGCCCUUAUGGGGAAAGGUUUACUGCCGAAGGAUCGGCCCGCGUCUGAUUAGCUAGUUGGUGAGGUAAUGGCUCACCAAGGCGACGAUCAGUAGCUGGCCUGAGAGGAUGACCAGCCACACUGGGACUGAGACACGGCCCAGACUCCUACGGGAGGCAGCAGUGGGGAAUAUUGGACAAUGGGGGCAACCCUGAUCCAGCCAUGCCGCGUGAGUGAUGAAGGCCUUAGGGUUGUAAAGCUCUUUUACCCGGGACGAUAAUGACUGUACCGGGAGAAUAAGCCCCGGCUAACUUCGUGCCAGCCGCCGCAGUAA
rnacentral:rRNA from 1 species